rnacentral:pre_miRNA from 1 species
UUACAGGGCUUGGUCUAAAGCCCACUGAAGUCAGUGCGAGUCUUCCACUGACUUCAAAGGGCUUUAGAUCAAGUCCAUAGUCAG